UAGGGAAUCUUCGGCAAUGGACGAAAGUCUGACCGAGCAACGCCGCGUGAGUGAAGAAGGUUUUCGGAUCGUAAAACUCUGUUGUUAGAGAAGAACAAGGACGUUAGUAACUGAACGUCCCCUGACGGUAUCUAACCAGAAAGCCACGGCUAACUACGUGCCAGCAGCCGCGGUAAUACGUAGGUGGCAAGCGUUGUCCGGAUUUAUUGGGCGUAAAGCGAGCGCAGGCGGUUUCUUAAGUCUGAUGUGAAAGCCCCCGGCUCAACCGGGGAGGGUCAUUGGAAACUGGGGGACUUGAGUGCAGAAGAGGAGAGUGGAAUUCCAUGUGUAGCGGUGAAAGGCGUAGAUAUAUGGAGGAACACCAGUGGCGAAGGCGGCUCUCUGGUCUAUAACUGACGCUGAGGCUCGAAAGCGUGGGGAGCAAACAGG
rnacentral:rRNA from 1 species